rnacentral:lncRNA from 1 species
GGUUGUUAUGAUACACAGCUUUAAAUAAAUUUUUGAUAACUGUUCAGACAUUUUAUUGGGUCUUACAAGUUCAAACUAAUAUUUGAAACAUAACCAUGUGUGAAAUAUAGAUAAGGAUGGUUUAAUAUUGGUAAAUAGCAUUAUGCUAUCUAAUAAUUAUGCAAAAUAUAAUGUAUUAGUUUAAAAAGUUAUGUGAAAAAAGUCCAAAAUCGAAGAGGUACAUAUAUAAUGAAUCUGAUGAAAAAUGAAAUUUAGAUGAAAGUGACAUGUCAAAAUAAACGGUCAGUGAAUAUGUUGUGCAAAUGAAUUAGUUAAAUAUCAUUAAUAUUCUUAAAACAACUAAUAACAAGAGGCUCUCAAGAGCCUGUAUCGCUCACCUGUAAAUUUUGGCUUAAAUCUUUCAUCAAUGAUUAUUUUUGAAUUUCAAUAUAUAUCAAUGAGUGCUUAAAAUUGACACAUAACAGUUUGUAUCUUUCAUAUUUUCUUCAAUUUUAAGCAAAAAACUGCAUUUGACCCCUAUGUUUUAUUUUUAGCCAUAGCGGCCAUGUUUGUAGAAAGAUCAAAAUUUCGGAUAUAAUUUAUAAACUAGAUACUCUAAGGAACAUUCAUUUUAAGUUUGGAAGCAUUUGGCCCAGUAGUUUCAGAGAAGAUGAUUUUAAAAUGUUCACAAAUAAGAUGAACAAAUUGUGUAAAAUUGUCUUUAAAGGGCAACAACUCCUUAAGGGGUCAAUUGACAAUUUUGGUCAAAUUACUUUUUGGUAGAUUUUACUUUGCUGAACAUUUUUGCUGUUACAGUUUAUCUUUAUCUUCAAUAAUAUUCAAGAUAAUGACCAAAAACUGCAAAAUUUCAUUAAAAUGACCAAUUAUUAAAAGUGGCAGCAACCCAACAAUGGGUUGUUUGAUUAUUCUGAAAAUUUCAGGGCUGAUAGAUCUGGACCUAUUGAACAUUUAUACCCUAUGACAAAUUUGCUCUAAAUGCUUAAGUUUUUGAGAUAUAAGCCAAAAACUGCAUUUGACCCCUAUGUUCUAUUUUUAGCCAUGGCGGCCAUGUUUGUUCAUGGAUCAAAACUUCGGAUACAAUUAAUUAACUAGAUACUCCAAGGAACAUUCAAUUAAAGUUGGAAGUAUUUGGCCCAGUAGUUUCACAGGAGAAGAUCUUUGAAAUAGUUUACAACUGACGACCACAGACAACGAUGGACCACGACGGACGACGACUGACGCCAAGUGAUGGCAUAAGCUCACAUGGCCCUUUGGGCCAGGAGAGCUAAAAUACCUGACAGACAAGGACCCAUCUUUUGGCCCCUCGAAAUACCCCUAAAUAGACCCCAAUACACAAACGAAGCUCCCCUAGACAUAUUAGUCUAACAUUUUAUGGGCAAAAACAAUAAGUCAUCAAACUUUGUUUGGGAGACUAAGAUAUUAAUAAAGAAUAUCUCCUGAUAUGUUAUACUAGAUAAAUUACCUAGAAAUUAAUCAUAUACAAAUAAGAAGCCUUUUAAAAUCAACAAAAUAAGUUUAAAGGUGUUUUGUUUAAAAUGAAUACAAAGGCCUUUGUAUUUGGUAUGAGGAAAAAUAUGACAAUCAAAUUUGAAGUUAUGGACUGGUAAAAAUUUCUCAAGGCAUGGGACUGGUGCAAAAUUAAAAUGAGCUAUAAUAAAAGUUGAAGUCCCAUGGUUAUACAGAUGAAAAAAUGUUGAUGUCCCAUUCUUUUUUGCAACAAAAAAACUUGGUGUCCCAUGUUAAUUCAUAAAGUAUAUCAAAGAUGUCUUUUGCUCCAGACAGCAUACAUCAUUCAAAUAAAACUGACAUGUGAUGUGAUGACAGUGCUGUUAAAAUGUGUUGCAAAAUUGUUUAAGACAGCCAUGUUUAACAGGUUAAGUAACUUCAUAUUUUGUAAGGAUUAAUGAAACUCCAAGUUAAUUUUAAAAAGUUAUAGAAAUUUUUAAAGGUAACAAUCUGAAUUAUAAAGUCUGA